rnacentral:rRNA from 1 species
CGGCGCCACAAGUGGUGAUCAUUUUUAUUGAGCCUAAAGCGUCCGUAGCCGGUCUAGUAAACUCUUGGGUAAAUUGGGCAGCUUAGCUGUCCAAAUUCCGAGAGGACUGCUAGACUUGGGACCGGGAGAGGUCAGAGGUACUCCAGGGGUAGGGGCUAAAUCCUGUAAUCCUUUGGGGACCACCAGUGGCGAAGGCGUCUGACUAGAACGGAUCCGACGGUAAGGGACGAAACCCUGGGGCGCGAACCGGAUUAGAUACCCGCGUAGUCC